GGUUAAGCGACUAAGCGUACACGGUGGAUGCCCUGGCAGUCAGAGGCGAUGAAGGACGUGCUAAUCUGCGAUAAGCGUCGGUGAGGUGAUAUGAACCGUUAUAACCGGCGAUUUCCGAAUGGGGAAACCCAGUGUGUUUCGACACACUAUCAUUAACUGAAUCCAUAGGUUAAUGAGGCGAACCGGGGGAACUGAAACAUCUAAGUACCCCGAGGAAAAGAAAUCAACCGAGAUUCCCCCAGUAGCGGCGAGCGAACGGGGAGGAGCCCAGAGCCUGAAUCAGUGUGUGUGUUAGUGGAAGCGUCUGGAAAGGCGCGCGAUACAGGGUGACAGCCCCGUACACAAAAAUGCACAUGCUGUGAGCUCGAUGAGUAGGGCGGGACACGUGGUAUCCUGUCUGAAUAUGGGGGGACCAUCCUCCAAGGCUAAAUACUCCUGACUGACCGAUAGUGAACCAGUACCGUGAGGGAAAGGCGAAAAGAACCCCGGCGAGGGGAGUGAAAAAGAACCUGAAACCGUGUACGUACAAGCAGUGGGAGCCUCUUUAUGGGGUGACUGCGUACCUUUUGUAUAAUGGGUCAGCGACUUAUAUUCUGUAGCAAGGUUAACCGAAUAGGGGAGCC
rnacentral:rRNA from 1 species